rnacentral:rRNA from 1 species
UACGGGGGGAGCAAGCGUUGUUCGGAUUUACUGGGCGUAAAGGGCGCGUAGGCGGUCAGCACAAGUCAGUUGUGAAAUCUCCGGGCUUAACUCGGAAAGGUCAACUGAUACUGUGCGACUAGAGUGCAGAAGGGGCAACUGGAAUUCCUGGUGUAGCGGUGAAAUGCGCAGAUAUCAGGAGGAACACCUAUUGCGAAGGCAGCUCGCUGGGACGUAACUGACGCUGAGACGCGAAAGCGUGGGGAGCAAACAGG